rnacentral:rRNA from 1 species
UACGUAGGGGGGCUAGCGUUGUCCGGAAUCAUUGGGCGUAAAGAGCGUGUAGGCGGCCCGGUAAGUCCGCUGUGAAAGUCAAAGGCUCAACCUUUGAAUGUCAGCGGAUACUGCCGGGCUAGAGUCCGGAAGAGGCGAGUGGAACUCCUGGUGUAGCGGUGGAAUGCGCAGAUAUCAGGAAGAACACCAACGGCGAAGGCAGCUCGCUGGGACGGUACUGACGCUGAGACGCGAAAGCGUGGGGAGCGAACAGG